GCGGGGUUAGCUCAGUGGUAGAGCCGCACAGUGCCACUGUGCAGGUCUCAGGUUCGAAUCCUGUACCCCGCU
rnacentral:tRNA from 1 species